CCACCUGAAUCCAUUCCGAACUCAGAAGUGAAACGAAAUAGCGCCGAUGGUAGUGUGGGGUUUCCCCAUGUGAGAGUAGGACAUCGCCAGGC
rnacentral:rRNA from 1 species